AGCGCACGAGGCCUUUACUGACGCUAAAGCUCGAAGGUGCGGGUAUCGAACAGGAUUAGAUACCCUGGUAGUCCGCACGGUAAACGAUGGAUGCCCGCUGUUUGCGAUACACUGUGAGCGGCCAAGCGAAAGCGUUAAGCAUCCCACCUGGGGAGUACGCCGGCAACGGUGAAACUCAAAGGAAUUGACGGGGGCCCGCACAAGCGGAGGAACAUGUGGUUUAAUUCGAUGAUACGCGAGGAACCUUACCCGGGCUUGAACUGCCGGCGAACGAUACAGAGAUGUUGAGGCCCUUCGGGGCGCCGGCGGAGGUGCUGCAUGGUUGUCGUCAGCUCGUGCCGUGAGGUGUCGGCUUAAGUGCCAUAACGAGCGCAACCCCUCUCCGUAGUUGCCAUCGGGUGAUGCCGGGCACUCUGCAGACACUGCCACCGUAAGGUGUGAGGAAGGUGGGGAUGACGUCAAAUCAGCACGGCCCUUACGUCCGGGGCUACACACAGGACAAUGGGUGUGACCAAGGGCAGGCGUCGGGCAACGUCCGUCAAAUCCAUGAAAGCCAUCCUCAGUUCGGACUGGGGUCUGCAACCCGACCACACGAAGCUG
rnacentral:rRNA from 1 species